rnacentral:rRNA from 1 species
UGCCUACGGGAGGCAGCAGUAGGGAAUCUUCCACAAUGGGCGAAAGCCUGAUGGAGCAACGCCGCGUGGGUGAAGAAGGUCUUCGGAUCGUAAAACCCUGUUGUUAGAGAAGAAAGUGCGUGAGAGUAACUGUUCACGUUUCGACGGUAUCUAACCAGAAAGCCACGGCUAACUACGUGCCAGCAGCCGCGGUAAUACGUAGGAGGCAAGCGUUAUCCGGAUUUAUUGGGCGUAAAGGGAACGCAGGCGGUCUCUUAAGUCUGAUCAGAAAGCCUGCGGCUUAAC